AGCCGGGGGCCGAACUUGAACCUCGGAGGCGGCCGCGGGCGAGGGGCGGGGCCGAAGGGGCCGGGACCGCCGCCCCAGCUCGAGGACCCGUUAGACCGGCAAACCGCAGUCCCUGCCCCGCGGGCUUCCUUUACUUUUUGGGAGUGGGGGGCGGUUUCCCUGCUUUUUCCACCACAGCCCCUCCUCCCGCCGCAAUGUGGCUGAUGCUCAUAAAAAGUUGUAUUAAAGAGCUGACUGCAGCCGAGAAUCGAUCAACAAAAGCGACCAGCCUCUCUGGGUAAAAUAGCUGUGCGUUUUUCAGGGCACUGGAAUUGAUCUAUACGGAUCAGAAAGACCGACAGCCCGCUCUCAGCAGCCUCUUGGAUACGCUUCACUUUCUGUCCAGGCACAUAAACACCACGGCACCAACCCUUCGUCCUCCCUAGUAGCCCAUACUUGUGGAGGAAGAAAAGGAAAAUAAACUGGCAUGUAUUAAUUACAAUGGGCCAGGCACCGUGCUAGAGCGCUGUGUAUAUGAUUUCACCUCUUUAGAAUACAAAUGUGCACAUUUUAUUAGUAUUACUGGAAGGAGGGUGGUAGAGAAAACAGUAAGGACGUGUUUUCUCUCACAAUCUGACACAUCUAUGAUUGAGUGAUUGAUUGUUUUUCAUUUAACAAUUAUUAGGCCUUACCAGGCUUAGCAGGCACAGUUGUAGGUGCUGGGAAUACAGCGUUGUACAAAACAGAAAAGAUACUGCUUCUUGACGUUCUAGCAGGCAAGCCUCUCUCGUCUUAUAAUUCCUAAUAACAAUUUAAUAGCUUGUCUUUCUCUUGUUUUAGGUCACACUCCUUCAGCUUCCCCGUUUCUGAAUCCCAGGUCUGGAUCUUUAUGAAAUCAGAUGGAGAGAUGGGGUUGGGGGGACGGGGGGGUCAAGUUGCCAGGAACAGAAAGGAACAUCCACCCGACUGUGACAGAUGAGCUUUAUGCCAGUCCAGGAAACAAAACAUUUGACCUUAGGCAAGACUUUUUUAAAUGACUAGUUUUUUCAUCUGUAAAUCAAAGAGGUUCAAUUAAAUGUUCAAAAUGUUCCUUUUCAGGUCUAUCCACGGCCUUCUCAACAGAUGACUUCAAGUUGAUUUCGUGCUUUAUUUCUUAAGAAUAGUGACUAACCUAAGGGAUCUGAUUCAAUUUAUUAGGAACACAGUGCCACCUUCCAAAAUUACUUACCUAAGAGGACUGAGCCUGCUGUCCCUGGAGCAGUUAGCUAAAACAGUGCCUCAGUACGGAGCGUACCUGUGUUAACUUCUAGAGUGCUGUUUCCGGCAGCUGCUGAAAUCCACGCUGAGGUUAUCAAGCUCAUCCUACAAAAUAAAGCAAGUUCUUCGCAAUUUAAAGCAAAAAUCUGGGCUUAUUUUUAGGGUUUUGGGGGAUGUGAAAGUUGUCUUAGAUAAGAUUCCAGGAAAGCUAAGAACUAACGAUGCAAUUACAGUCACCUUUCAACAACUUUGGGGAUUGGGUUGAGGAAGGUGUGAAAUUGGGAAAUAUAAUAAAAGGUAUUAUAUUAGUGACUUUCUAGAGUAGCCCUUGGCAGUCCUGUCUUUAAAGAGUAAUAACUGGAAAAAAAAAUGAAUGAUAAUACACUGCAUCCAAGAACCUUGCCUCUGGUGAGGGUAAUUUGCAAACGCAUUUUGGGAUAAUGUUCAGCAUUCAAUAUAAUCUUCCCUGGAAUUAGCAAUGCCUUUUGGGUCAGAGUUUCUUAGGUUUCUUCAGUCAUACAAUUAAAAUUGUUUCUGGAUUAUAUUGCCCAUAUUUGUUUCUAAUUCUCCAUUUUGCCUGUGUUUUAACUGCUAGCGAUUAAUAACUGCCAUAUAAUAAGCUAAGCAUUUAUUAUGUUUCAGGCACUGUUCUAACUGCAUUAAAAUAAUAUCUCAUUUAAUUCUCAUAAAUUUUGAGAAAAGUUUUAUUAUUCCUAUUUUACAGUUGAGUAAACUGAGGCUUAAAGUUAAGCAUAUUGUCCAAGGUGCCUCCACUCCUUAGUCAUAAGCUAAAUUUGAUCUGAGUGACUCCAAAACCUGUUCUCUUAAUGGUUAUGCUGAAAUGCCCUUCUUAGAAUGAUUCCUCAGGAAGUCAAAUGCUAGGUAUAUAGUACAACCACUUUGGAAAACUGGCAAUAUCUGUUAAAGUUAAACAUAUGAAAACCCUAUGGCCCAGCAGUUCCACGCUUAGGAAUAUACCAAUGUCCCAUGUGUGCCAAAAGACUAUUAAAUCACUCAGAGCAACCCUAUUCAUAAAUAACCCCCAACCAGGAAACAACCCAAAUGGUCAUAAACAGUAAAAUAGAUAAAUAAUUGGUGGUAUAUUCAUACAACAGAGUACAUUCUACCACACUAAGAAUGAACAAUCUGCUUCCAAAUGCAGUAAAAUAUAUGAACCUUACAAAUGUGCUAAGUGAAAAAAGGGAGAUGUACAAUUGCGGGACUCCAUUUAUGUGAAGUACAGAAACAGACAAAAGUCAUUGAUGCUAUUCAAAGUCAGGAUAGUGGUUACCCUUGAGAGAGAGCUGAUGACUAGGAGAGAACACCAAUCGGCUUCUGGGGAGCUGGUAGUGUUGUUUCUUGAGCUGGGUACUGGUGUGUUCAGUUUGUGAAAAUUCAUUGAGCUGUACUAUUGAUAUAUGCAUCUCUGUGUAUGUAAAUUAUGCUUCAAUAAAAAGCUUUAAAAUGCUGUGUAUAUA
rnacentral:lncRNA from 1 species